rnacentral:rRNA from 1 species
CAGAAACUUAAAGGAAUUGACGGGGCCCGGCACAAGCGGUGGAGUAUGUGGUUUAAUUCGAUGCAACGCGAAGAACCUUACCUGGUCUUGACAUCCCGGAGACCCUUAGGAAACUAGGGGGUGCCUCCAUCUGGAAGAAUCUGGAGACAGGUGCUGCAUGGCUGUCGUCAGCUCGUGUCGUGAGAUGUUGGGUUAAGUCCCGCAACGAGCGCAACCCUUGCCUUUAGUUGCCAGCAGUUCGGCUGGGCACUCUAAAGGGACUGCCGGUGUUAAACCGGAGGGAGGUGGGGAUGACGUCAAGUCCUCAUGGCCUUUAUGACCAGGGCUACACACGUACUACAAUGGCCGAUACAAAGGGCAGCGACACUGCGAGGUGAAGCCAAUCCCGUAAAAUCGGUCUCAGUCCGGAUUGGAGUCUGCAACUCGACUCCAUGAAGUUGGAAUCGCUAGUAAUCGUGGAUCAGCAUGCCACGGUGAAUACGUUCCCGGGCCUU